UGUUCUUAUCGUCUAAUGGUCAGGACUCCGCUCUUUCAAGGCGGCAAUACGGGUUCAAAUCCCGUUAAGAAUAA
rnacentral:tRNA from 1 species